UUUUUAUUUGAUCCUCCCAAUGAUUUUCAGGGAGGCAUGUUGGGCAUUCUCUCUCUUUCUCUCUCGAUCUCUCAACAGAAGAGCAUGACUCAGAGCUUAAGUGGUUUUGUGCUUCAUCCUGUAGGCACUGGGAGCCUUUGAGGGUUUUAAGUGAGGAAGUGAUCUGAUCAGAUCGUCCUUUAGAGAGAUUGCCCUGGUGGUAGUGUAGAGGAUGUUUUAGGGGAGUAGGAGGCUAAUUAGGACACCAUUGGGAAAAUCAGAUGUGGAAAUUGACACGUUAUCGAGCAUAUGUAAGUGCCAUACCAUUCCAACUUUACAUACUUCUCACCACCCCUGCUGCACCUCACCUCCCUAAUAACACUUCUGGGACCGUGGUUG
rnacentral:lncRNA from 1 species